AUGGACAGGACCUAGAGCUAAUCUUCCUGGUGGCAGCAGCUACAGGUGUCUGCUCCCAGGUGCAGCUGGGGCAGUCUGAGGCUGAGGUAAAGAAGCCUGGGGCCUCAGUGAAGGUCUCCUGCAAGGCUUCCGGAUACACCUUCACUUGCUGCUCCUUGCACUGGUUGCAACAGGCCCCUGGACAAGGGCUUGAAAGGAUGAGAUGGAUCACACUUUACAAUGGUAACACCAACUAUGCAAAGAAGUUCCAGGGCAGAGUCACCAUUACCAGGGACAUGUCCCUGAGGACAGCCUACAUAGAGCUGAGCAGCCUGAGAUCUGAGGACUCGGCUGUGUAUUACUGGGCAAGAUACACGGUGCGAGAACCCACAUCCUGAGAGAGUCAGGAACC